CCUACGGGUGGCAGCAGUGAGGAAUAUUGGUCAAUGGGCGCUAGCCUGAACCAGCCAAGUAGCGUGAAGGAUGACUGCCCUAUGGGUUGUAAACUUCUUUUAUAUGGGAAUAAAGUGCAGUAUGUAUACUGCUUUGCAUGUACCUUAUGAAUAAGGAUCGGCUAACUCCGUGCCAGCAGCCGCGGUAAUACGGAGGAUCCGAGCGUUAUCCGGAUUUAUUGGGUUUAAAGGGAGCGUAGGCGGGUUGUUAAGUCAGUUGUGAAAGUUUGCGGCUCAACCGUAAAAUUGCAGUUGAUACUGGCAUCCUUGAGUACAGUAGAGGUAGGCGGAAUUCGUGGUGUAGCGGUGAAAUGCUUAGAUAUCACGAAGAACUCCGAUUGCGAAGGCAGCCUGCUGGACAUUAACUGACGCUGAGGCACGAAGGCCAGGGGAGCGAAAGGGAUUAGAUACCCUGGUAGUC
rnacentral:rRNA from 1 species